AAGAUACUAGUAAAUAGAUAUUACACUGCCUUGUCGAGGCAGAAUAGUGGGUUUAAGCCCCGCGUAUCUUA
rnacentral:tRNA from 3 species